CUGCUUCUUUCCUGGUGAAAAACCCCACUGGAGUGCCUUAAGAGGCUAACACAGAAGGGUAAAGCAAGCCUCCAUAAAACCCAGAGAAGAGACGGUAAAACUCCUCUUUGGAUCCUGUCUGGAGUCACAGCU
rnacentral:snoRNA from 1 species